GCGCAGCAGUCGCGCAACCUCUGCAAUACGCGAAAGCGUGACAGGGCUACCCCGAGUGCCGUCCGCUGAGGAUGGCUUUUCUCCGGUGUAUUGAGCCGGGGGAAUAAGGAGAGGGCAAGUCUGGUGUCAGCCGCCGCGGUAAUACCAGCUCUCCGAGUGGUAGGGACGAUUAUUGGGCCUAAAGCGUCCGUAGCCGGCCAAGCAAGUUUCCCGUUAAAGCCAGCGAUCCAAUCGUUGGACUGCGGGAAAUACUGUUGAGCUAGGAGGCGGGAGAGGCCGACGGUAUUCCCGGAGUAGGGGUGAAAUCCCAUAAUUCCGGGAGGACCACCAGUGGCGAAGGCUGUCGGCUAGAACGCGCUCGACGGUGAGGGACGAAAGCUGGGGGAGCGAACCGGAUUAGAUACCCGGGUAGUCC
rnacentral:rRNA from 1 species